rnacentral:rRNA from 1 species
AGCAGCCGCGGUAAUUCCAGCUCCAAUAGCGUAUAUUAAAGUUGUUGCAGUUAAAAAGCUCGUAGUUGAAUUUCGGGACUAAUAUGUCGGUCGUACUUUGUACGUACUAGCAUUAUUGGUUUCUCCCUUCUGACGAACCACGAUGUCAUUAAUUUGGUGUCAUGGGAAAUCAGGACUGUUACUUUGAAAAAUUAGAGUGUUUAAAGCAAGCUCGCGCUUGAAUACAUUAGCAUGGAAUAAUGAAAUAGGACGUUUGAUUCUAUUUUGUUGGUUUCUAGGAUCGACGUAAUGAUUAAUAGGAUAGUUGGGG